AGAGUUUGAUCAUGGCUCAGGACGAACGCUGGCGGCGUGCCUAAUACAUGCAAGUCGAACGGGGUUGCACGGCGGAAGCCUUCGGGUGGAAGCUGUGCAGCCUAGUGGCGGACGGGUGAGUAACGCGUGGGCAACCUGCCCUCCAGCCCGGGAUAACUUCCGGAAACGGGAGCUAAUCCCGGAUGCGGAGCAAAGGACGCAUGUUUUUUGCUCGAAAGCUUCGGCGCUGGAGGAUGGGCCCGCGUCCCAUUAGCUAGUUGGUGAGGUAACGGCUCACCAAGGCGACGAUGGGUAGCCGGCCUGAGAGGGUGAUCGGCCACACUGGGACUGAGACACGGCCCAGACUCCUACGGGAGGCAGCAGUAGGGAAUCUUGCGCAAUGGGCGAAAGCCUGACGCAGCGACGCCGCGUGAGGGAAGAAGGCCUUCGGGUCGUAAACCUCUGUCCUUGGGGACGAUGAUGACGGUACCCAAGGAGGAAGCCCCGGCUAACUACGUGCCAGCAGCCGCGGUAAUACGUAGGGGGCGAGCGUUGUCCGGAAUCACUGGGCGUAAAGGGUGCGUAGGCGGCUUGGCAAGUCCUGUGUGAAAGGUCGCGGCUCAACCGCGGUGGGUCAUGGGAAACUGCCAAGCUCGAGUGCCGGAGAGGAUAGCGGAAUUCCCGGUGUAGCGGUGAAAUGCGUAGAGAUCGGGAGGAACACCAGUGGCGAAGGCGGCUAUCUGGAAGGUCACUGACGCUGAGGCACGACAGCUGGGGGAGCAAACAGGAUUAGAUACCCUGGUAGUCCCAGCCGUAAACGAUGAGUGCUAGGUGUUGCGGGUAUCGACCCCUGCAGUGCCGAAGUCAACACAAUAAGCACUCCGCCUGGGGAGUACGGCCGCAAGGCUGAAACUCAAAGGAAUUGACGG
rnacentral:rRNA from 1 species